CUUUAGCACUAGGGGUGUUUCGAGAGAGACUGAGACGGCUAUGCCGAUCCCUUUGAACCUGUGAGUUAAUGCUUGCGUAGGAAAGUGCGAUAAUCUGGGC
rnacentral:ncRNA from 2 species